rnacentral:rRNA from 1 species
UUUUAUGAGAGUUUGAUCCUGGCUCAGGACGAACGCUGGCGGCGUGCCUAAUACAUGCAAGUCGAACGCUUCUUUUUCCACCGGAGCUUGCUCCACCGGAAAAAGAGGAGUGGCGAACGGGUGAGUAACACGUGGGUAACCUGCCCAUCAGAAGGGGAUAACACUUGGAAACAGGUGCUAAUACCGUAUAACAAUCGAAACCGCAUGGUUUUGAUUUGAAAGGCGCUUUCGGGUGUCGCUGAUGGAUGGACCCGCGGUGCAUUAGCUAGUUGGUGAGGUAACGGCUCACCAAGGCCACGAUGCAUAGCCGACCUGAGAGGGUGAUCGGCCACAUUGGGACUGAGACACGGCCCAAACUCCUACGGGAGGCAGCAGUAGGGAAUCUUCGGCAAUGGACGAAAGUCUGACCGAGCAACGCCGCGUGAGUGAAGAAGGUUUUCGGAUCGUAAAACUCUGUUGUUAGAGAAGAACAAGGAUGAGAGUAACUGUUCAUCCCUUGACGGUAUCUAACCAGAAAGCCACGGCUAACUACGUGCCAGCAGCCGCGGUAAUACGUAGGUGGCAAGCGUUGUCCGGAUUUAUUGGGCGUAAAGCGAGCGCAGGCGGUUUCUUAAGUCUGAUGUGAAAGCCCCCGGCUCAACCGGGGAGGGUCAUUGGAAACUGGGAGACUUGAGUGCAGAAGAGGAGAGUGGAAUUCCAUGUGUAGCGGUGAAAUGCGUAGAUAUAUGGAGGAACACCAGUGGCGAAGGCGGCUCUCUGGUCUGUAACUGACGCUGAGGCUCGAAAGCGUGGGGAGCAAACAGGAUUAGAUACCCUGGUAGUCCACGCCGUAAACGAUGAGUGCUAAGUGUUGGAGGGUUUCCGCCCUUCAGUGCUGCAGCUAACGCAUUAAGCACUCCGCCUGGGGAGUACGACCGCAAGGUUGAAACUCAAAGGAAUUGACGGGGGCCCGCACAAGCGGUGGAGCAUGUGGUUUAAUUCGAAGCAACGCGAAGAACCUUACCAGGUCUUGACAUCCUUUGAC